CACUGCUGUCCUAACUACAGGCUAAAUGGAAACGAGUGUGAAGAAUGUCCAUCAGGCUCGAUGGGAGAAAAGUGUGGAGUGAAAUGUCUCUCUGGAUGGUAUGGCAGAUUUUGUGGGAAUCGAUGUGCUUGUGAACCACCCAUGACAUGUGACCCUGCUACUGGAUGCACAUGUAAAGGCAGCAAAUGUCAACUAGAUAAGGCAUCAACAGUUUCCCCGGCAAAAGGAAUCCAAGAAACUACCCAAGCACCAGAUAAUGGAAUCGAAACUACCACAUAUCACCUCACCACCAAGAGAAUUGGCGGUAAUACACAUCAAGCGAGAGGAACCCUCAGUCUAGUCGUUCUAUAUGCACUAGUAAUUACUUUACGUCAAAUAAGCAUUUUAAAUACAUUUCAGGCCUUAAAACUGGUAUUUUCAUAUUUUUUAGUAUCUCACUAUUUUUUUCAAUACUAUACUUCGCGAUUUUUCUUUUCGGGAAAAUGAAGCUUCGCUAUAAUGAUCAUUUAUCUUCGGAUGACGUUCA